AUGUCUUGCUUCCUACAGAAAACUGGGCAUCUUCAUGGUCCUAGAAGGAUCCCAGGAGGCUGAUCCUAUAGAGACGUCUGGUUCCUGACCCCAACUGCCUCCAGGUGCCCGGAACAGCCCAUCGUGGGCCCUUUACCCUCAGCAGGUGGGAGCCGUUGGUCCUGCCAGGGCAAGUGUGUGUCUGUCUUAGGGCAUUUGGGAACAAUGGGCCUCUCUGUCCAGGUCCCCCUGUGUUCAAGUCCUCAGGAAGGAGCCUACUCCUGGUCCAGGGCAGGGACUCUAGAGACUAGGGCAUGGGUGGGAAUACUGGGUUUAACCCUUUGUCUUGGGGAGCAAUGGUGGAAUGGGGCUCACCUGUCUGGCCAGCAUUUGGGGGUCUGGUGGGAGCCGUUCGGGUGUUCUCUGGAGCUCUCGGGUGCUGCAGAGCCUUUGGAUGACUUUGUCUUGCACGAUGGAGAUGGAUGAGCACCCGGAUAUCCUGCCCACCCAGGGGCAAGGCAACAUCAUCAUUACUAAGUAUGAGCAGGUACAGGUCGGGCCACUCCCUUGAGGAAGGUGGGGCCUCACCUCCCCCACUGGUCAGAGCCUGGUCAGAGGGUCCUGGGCUCCCCAGGACCACAGGGUGAAGACAGGCUCUCCAUGCCGUCAGGAUCCCAAGCCCUUCACCUUGCCCCUGUCUCCCUGGCCCUCGCUGGGUCACAGGGACGCUGAGCUGGGGCAGCAGUGGACACAGAGCAUGAGCGUGUUGACAUCUGGAAAUUCACCAGUCGUCUCUGGGUUGUGUGUGAGACAGAGCUGCCCGUGUCAGUGCCCUGGAGGUGAAGGGAAGAGCCUGUGCCUGCUGCGUGGGAGACUGGUCCAGGGACAGGGAAUCAGGAGUGGUUGGGCCCCAAAGCCCAGGACCCAGCAUCCAUGGGCCGCUGCCGGAGGCCUGGCAGCUCCGCUAACUCCAUCAUGGCUCAUUUGACAGCAAAGAUGUCAGGAAAUAAAAUGUACUGACAAGUGGCUGAAGAUGCUUGGAGACUGGCCAAAAUAUAAGAACAGCAAGAAGGUAACAUGGCGGUUGGGCCUGGUGGCUCAGGCCUGUAACCCCAGCACUUCGGGAGGCUGAGGUGGGCAGAUCACCUGAGGUCAGGAGUUCGAGACCAUCCUGGCCAACAUGGCGAAACCCCGUCUCUACUAAACAUGCAAAAAUUAGCUGGGCACAGUGGCGGGCGCCUGUAAUCCCAGCUACUCAGGAGGCUGAGGCACGAGAAUUGCUUGAACCCAGGCAGUGGAGGUUGCAGUGAGCCAAGAUCGCACCACUGAACUCCAGCCUGGGUGACAAGAGCGAGACUUCAUCUCAAAAGGAAAAGAAGGUAACGUGGGGAGGGA